GAUCAUGGCUCAGGAUAAACGCUGGCGGCGUGCUUAACACAUGCAAGUCGAGCGAAGCAAUCUAAGUGAAGUUUUCGGAUGGAUUUUGGAUUGACUGAGCGGCGGACGGGUGAGUAACGCGUGGAUAACCUGCCUCACACAGGGGGAUAACAGUUAGAAAUGACUGCUAAUACCGCAUAAGCGCACGGCAUCGCAUGAUGCAGUGUGAAAAACUCCGGUGGUGUG
rnacentral:rRNA from 1 species